AGUAAGAUAGACUAAGGGGAAAGUCCUCGAGUCCAUGUCUCGAAAAUGUGAGUUCAAGUCUUGCUCUUACGG
rnacentral:tRNA from 1 species